UCAAUAUAUUCCUCAAAAAGGACAUGGCUCAAGUUAUAUUCAAUAAACAAUAGGCAGGUUAUAAACAGUCGACUAUUACUUGCAGAAUAGGUUACAAAUAAUAAAAUACUUUACUACAACUUAAAACAUGUCUAAAACACUUACUCCUAGGUUAAUUGGGAUGCCACCCAAAUACCAGCUAGGCUUCAAAACUACUGUCCAGUCAAAAAAAAGAAAAAAGAAACUACACUCAAGUAGUUGGGAUGUGGCUUUGAAUAAUGCCAACUAAUGACCAAUCCAUGUAGCCAACCCAAAGAAAAUGGGGUUAAGGCUUGUUGAGUUGAGUCGAAAGGAAACUCAGGAACAAGAUAUCCACUAAGAUAUUUUAGCCUCUAACAAUUAAUGAAUUAAAA